rnacentral:lncRNA from 1 species
CCUGUGUUUGGUGAGAUUUGAGCUAUUACUAAAGGCUUUGCCACAUUCAGCACAUAUAUAACGUCUCUCUCCUGGGGUAGGUUUAGUAGGAACUGAUUCUCUACCUUUCUUGGAGCCUGCCUCUUGAAGAGGGGGUUUUGUUCCUUUUUCAUUUUCAAGGUUUACCUCCUGCCUCAGCCUCCAGAGUAGCUGGAAUUACAGGCACGUGCCACCACACCCAGCUAUUUUUUGUAUUUUUUUUUAGUAGAGAUGGGGUUUCAACAUGCUGGCCAGGAUGGUCUUGAUCUCCUGACCUCAGGUGAUCCGCCUGCCUCAGCCUCCCAGAGUGCUGGGAUUACAGGCAUGAGCCACCAGGCCUGGCCUCCAUACCACACUUUCACACAAUUCCCCACCCGAAGCUAUUAAGAUGUGAAGAGAGCGUGGCUUUUUCUGCCAGAAAAACAGCUUCACAUACAGA